UAUCUAGCCAAUCAGGUCACGGAACGUCAACACACCCGCAAAAUGUAUUGAGCGUGUCCUUCAAACAAAAAUGGAUUGGAGUUUAUGUUGUGGUAACCACAAAUAGAGACCGUGUUAGGAACAAAUGGAAUACUCAAAAGAUAUCCGUUUGGUAUGCACAGUUACUGAGAGAUACAGAGAUGUGCUACAGUUGUUUACCACCCCACAGUUCAAGAUGUCACACUGAGCUUGUGGACACCGGCAAAAUUAUUGAAAACUUUUAAAGGAAUUCAGCAUACUGCACAAGCAAAGGUUGAGACGGCUGGAACUGGACAAUAAUAAUGACAGAUGCCUGAUGUUCAACUGACGACUUUGUUACCACCCCAAAGGUCGCAAGUCAAGGCAAGCUGAAGUUGACACACUUGCAGAGUGAGAUUGCCUCUCUGCAAAGCCUCAACAAAGACCACAUGAAGGAAAUUGCAGAGAAAGACCACCGCAUCACUAAAAUGCAAGCUAGCAUUUUGCUGUUGCAAUAGGAGGGUUUCAACAUCCAUGCUCAGUUGGACCUCAUCAGGAAGCAGGCGGUGCAACAAAGUUUGGAGCUCUAUCAUCAGAAAGAGGAGCUUCUUCCUUGCAAGGAGGUUCUGAACCACAGGCCCACACAUGCGCAUGCACGGACGGGGUGAGGAGUUCAGCCUCCGUCUGCUUCCGUGCCAUAGAGCGACGCUAACAUAAAGCAGCUGGAUGAGACCGUGGUGUCAUUACAGGCCAUACAGGAUUCGCUGAGAAGAAUCUUGGCACCAAAGGAGAAACACACACAACAGCUGCUGGAAGACAAUGCUCAUCUUAAAGACAACCUGGCAGCACUGCAGAGCCAAAUAGUUACACACAAGGGACUGCACGUUGAGCGAUGUUCGCGCGACCCUGGAUCGAGCCCGUGUCAGUCUGGAAGCAGAGACGCAGAUGAGGCUGCAGAUCUAGCAACAGUCUGAGCAAGCCAGCAAAGUUGUGCAGUAUUUGCAGCAGGAAUUCACUAGUGUGCAUUGCACCACUGCAAAUAAGACCAAAGAAGAGUACUUUAGAGUGCAUGCACAGCAAGAUGUGUCCUUCAUGUUUAGACUGGUAACCCUAUGGAUGGACCAUUACUUUCAGUUCAGGGAUCCAGUUUCUGCUUCACAUCUGGCCCCGCUUAAUGCAGAAAACUGCUGUUUCUCUGAUCUCUUUGUACAUGUCAUACAUUCACACACUCCAUGCCUUCUUCAAUGCAUUUAUGACACUAGUCAUAAUGGCAUUUCCAAAUCGUCACAACACUCAAGAUUAGAAUGUACUUUACUGAAUCAUUAUUUUAAAAAUCUUUGGAUAUUCGUUAUUUUCAUGCACUCAAUGAAUUCCAAUCCAUUUUCAUGAGUCAUGCUUUAUGGUUCACCAUUAAUUCUAAGUCAGCUACAUGUCACAUCAUCACAAACUUUCCAGAAGAGCCACUUUAGAAGUUGAGAAAGAAAAGUUGUCAGUGAGAAAAUCCUUUGUCAUGGUAUAACAAACGUUGGGUGGGGGUCAAUUUUGGAAUUGACUGAGAGAGUGGCAGCACUUCGGGCAAUCAGAAGUUAAAGCCGUCUCUUUAUUUUUCAGUUAGACAUUGCAACAGAUUAAUAAUCUAAAUCUAUUUAGUUUAAACUAUCAGUGUUUAUAUUUUAUUUUUUGGUAAUAGGCAUAGUAAUUGCUGUAAUGAUUAAGAAUUUGCCAAUUGUGUGGUAUCGGGGUUAAAAAACUGCACUAUUAGAAGAAAUGAGUCUAAUGCACAAUCAGUUUACUUUAUUAUACUAUUCUGUUAAAAAAUAUGUACUGUAUAUAUACUCACAAGACAAAUCUUUUUUGGGCUUUCAGCCCCAAAAUGUCCUGAGCAAACACAUGAUACCAUUUUAUGAACAUACUGUAUUUGCUUAUCAAAAUUAUAUUUUUGUAAACCCAUAAAUAUUUCUUCAGUCAUUAAUACACGCAUGCGACACCUGAUGUGUACUAGAUCCUAUCCAUAACAGACAAUGAAUUUGAUUAAACAGUUAUUGUGUAUCCUCACUUGUUUAAGGGCAUACUCAUUUAUUUUGUCCCAUAGAAAUAAUUUUAAUUUCUUUGUUUUGUUCUAAUUUUUUUGUUUUCGAAAUUUGAUUUUAAUCAUCUCAGUGUGUGGUUGUGCAUGUUUGUGUGUAUGUAUCGGCAUCAAAUGGUACACCAUUGGGAAAAUGCUGGAAUUUUUUCACUUUCCUCAUACCCACUUCAUAUUUUUAAUUGAUACUGUUGGAUAACAAGCACGCUAACAUAAAUGACCUCCCUGGUUGACUUAAAAGGAAGAACAAAAUGUUAUUUUAUUUUUUUGU